UACGUAGGGGGCAAGCGUUGUCCGGAAUCAUUGGGCGUAAAGAGCGCGUAGGCGGCCCUGUAAGUCCGCUGUGAAAGUCGGGGGCUCAACCCUCGAAUGCCGGUGGAUACUGUCGGGCUAGAGUGCGGAAGAGGCGAGUGGAAUUCCUGGUGUAGCGGUGAAAUGCGCAGAUAUCAGGAGGAACACCGAUGGCGAAGGCAGCUCGCUGGGACGGUACUGACGCUGAGGCGCGAAAGCGUGGGGAGCAAACAGG
rnacentral:rRNA from 1 species